rnacentral:rRNA from 1 species
UACGUAGGGGGCGAGCGUUGUCCGAAGUUACUGGGCGUAAAGCGCGCGUAGGCGGGUUCUUAAGUGAGGGGUGAAAGGUUCGGGCUCAACCCGAACACUGCCUUUCAUACUGGGAGCCUUGAGUAUGGGAGAGGCGAGUGGAAUGGUCGGUGUAGCGGUGAAAUGCGUAGAUAUCAAGUGGAACACCAGUGGCGAAGGCGAGUCCCUGGACAACUCCUGACACUGAGGCACGAAAGCUAGGGGAGCAAACAGG